UUUCCGUAGGUGAACCUGCGGAAGGAUCAUUACAGUAGUCACCCAGGUUGCCGCAAGGCCUCCUGGGUAACCUACCACCCUUUGUUUAUUACACUUUGUUGCUUUGGCAAGCCUGCCCUCGGGCUGCUGGCUCCGGCCGGCGAGCGCUUGCCAGAGGACCUAAACUCUGUUUGUCUAUACUGUCUGAGUACUAUAUAAUAGUUAAAACUCUCAACAACGGAUCUCUUGGUUCUG
rnacentral:misc_RNA from 1 species